GUGAGUAGGGCCCUUCCCCCUCGCCGCGCUUCCUCUGCCCGGGCUGGCGCGGGGCGCUAGGCCAGAGGAGCCCCCCACCCCACGGGAGGCCCGGGCGCUGCCCUUGGCCCAGCUGGCGCCGGGACCCCGCGCUGGCUGCCGUUUGGCCCCGAGGCCUGGGGAAGGCCGAGCGGCACGAGUUAGCGGGCCGAGGGGAGGCUGCCCGGUCUCCGCGAGCGAGCUCUUGCCCUGCAGCGGGGCAGCUGUACCCGAGCCUCUCUGCCCCGCAGGUCGCCCGGACCCCAGCCCCGGAGUAUUGUGCCACCCGGAGCCAGCGUGCAUCUGAUGCACACCGCCUCCAGCAGCCCCACACUCAGCCCAGUGGGUGCUGCAGACCUCUCUCCACCCCCACUUCUUUCCCCCCUCCAAUCAGGUUCUGCUGAGGAGUCUUAGAUCCGAGACACCGAAGGUAGUGACACCCCCAUUACGUCCACACGUAACAAGUUCAUUGUGGAGGGCUGUCGCCUGUGGAAUCUGUAGAUGCCCCCGCCUCACCUCCAAGUCUGCCUCCAGGCUUUAAGAUCCCAUAUUCUCUUCUUUUCAGCAGGCCAGUCUUUGAUCACAUCUAACACAUCCCUCCCCCACAACACGCACACACACACACACACACACUUCCUGAUUGCCGAGAGCCCCUGUCAUCACAGAUCCAUUGUCAGAAAUAGCUUGUGCCAAUCAAAGGAAUGUGCCUCUGCCUUUGGAGGAGGGUGCUUUCCGAAACCGUGUUGCAGGCUGUUCCUGUGUGAGUCCGUCUGUGAUGGCCCCAGGUUGUCCGGGCGUCCUUGUCAUGGUGUCUCCCAUACGUGCAUCUCCAACGGACUCUCAAACACACCUGAGUGAUGCUUUCCAUCCAGUUUAGUAACUAGAUACGAAGCGUGAGCGGGAAUCUCAACCUUUUUGUUGUAAUGUUUAACAUCUAUGGUCAAGGCAUCGUGCAGAAAUGGGGGGAUGUUUGGGGAGGAAGGUUUAUGGAUUUCUUUCCAAAGGAUGGCCAGGCCGGUAUUGUUCCGGGAAUGGCAACUGGCACAUGCUUUGUUGACAACAUGUGCAUGCCUAGGAAUGAAGUGGGAGCUGCUGCAGCUGGGACGUGCGGUGGCUGCCCCGGGAGUGUAUGAGCUGGCAGCCAGCUUGCACAUGUGUUCACAUAGGUACUACCUUUAGUGUAAUUUGUUGAAAAUGCUCCCUGCUGAGUUUUAGUGGUUCUGGAAAUGUUCCCGUCUGUGGUUCCUAACCCUUCCUACAGGGCCCCCUUAGUGAAAUAGACACAUAAUUUCGUAUGCAGCUGUAGUCAUAUUGAAGCUGGUCCUGGCACCUCAGGUUAAAAGAAUCUGUUAGCCAAAAGUGAAAGGAACUUGAGUUUUGUGUGUUGUUCUGUUUUGGCUUUCUUAAGGAUUACAGUUACUUUGACCCUGAGGAAUAAACACCAGUGUAGCUUAUGUAUAUAUCCUUGUGUUCUUGUUCUUUGAUUGCAGUAAAUUUGGUAUUUAUAAGAAAUCAUUGUCCUGUGUUCUUGUUAAAAGAAAUGGAAUGUAAGAGUCUUUCAGAAAACUUUAAAAGUAGAGUCAAAAUCAUGUUUAAAUUUGGCCGAUUGAUACUUUGUUCCUGGCACUAUACACUAAAUGUAGCAAUGUAGCAAAUUUAAACAGCCAAGUCUGUGCUCUGUUUUUUAAUGUCUGUGUGGAAUCUUUAUGUGUUGGUUGAAGUUGAUCUGAUCUCUUAAACGAAAGCUUUGUUAUUGGAAUGGUAGAACACCUGCUCCAUGAUGAGGCUUUUUAAAACUUUUGUCAAAUGUGAGGCUAGGGAUUUAGCUCAGUGGUUCCGCCGCCUGUCUCGAAAGCACAAGGACCGGAGUUCAAUCCCCGGUACCAAAAAAAAAAAAAAAAAAGAAAAAGAAAAAAUGUGAUUUUGACUUUAUUAAGAGUGAUGGUGGGGCCAGGGAUUUAGCUCAGUGGUUCUGCCGCCUGCCUCGCAAGCGGAAGGACCCAAGUUUAUCCCUGGUACCAAAAAAACCCACCAAAAAACAAAAACUGAAAAGUGAUGGUGUCUUUGGGGCCGGGAUUUAGCUCAGUGGUUCCACCACCUGCCUCAAAAGCACAAGGUGAUGGUGUCCUCAAAAUCAUCCAUAUUGAGCCGGGUGUGGUGGUGCGUGACUGUAAUCCCGGCACUCGGGAGGCUGAGGCAGGAGGGUCACUGGGAGUUCGAGGCCAGCCUGAACUACAAACUGAGACCCUGUCUGAAAAACAACAAAACAGGGCCAGGGAUUUAGCUCAGUGGUGCCACACCUGCCUCACAAGCACAAGGUCUUGAGUUCGAUCUGCAUACCAAAAAACGAAACAAAACAAAAAAGAGAAAAUCGUCCAUAUUGAAAUAUUUGGAUUUUUAUUGUACUUAGAGAAUCUGGUCUCCACAUUUAGAAUCUAGAAAUAGGGAUGAACUUUGCACCAUUCUGUCAAUAAGCAGAUGAUAAAUGUCAGUUAUUUUUAUUCACUCUGCCCUCAGCUUUUGUUUUUUGAUGAUGUUUCAAGAGACAUUCCAACUUGUGAUAGUGUUGUGAUUGGGCAGUUAUUAAAUAAACACAGCCGAGCUCUCUAGGAGCUUACAGUUUGUACAGUAUUUUUCAUUUAAAGAAUCCAGGCUGGGGAUUUAGCUCAGUGCUUCCGCUGCCUGCCUCACAAGCACAAGGACCCGAGUUCGAUUCCCGGUACCAAAAAAGAAAUCCAUUGAGGCCUUCACUUGUUUGCAUUUUAUGGGGUUCUGAGAGCUAAGGAAUUCAUGGUCUUAACUAGCAUUUUGGAAGGCAAAGGAGGCUUGAAAUCUUGCAUAGAACUUGUUCCACACAUCUGCAGAAGAGUACUUAUUUUAAUAAUUAUGCAGUAUACCUAUGAAAUUUUAAAGCAUGCUGAGGUUGCAUAUAUCACAUCUUUAUUACCCAAUAAUAAGCUUGAAGUGGCUUAUAUUACAGGUUAUAUUUUUUUGUUCAUGUCACACCUGAAGUUUUACUAUUGGAAAUUAUUCGCCUGUCCUAAACCCAAACCAUUUAAAAGUUGCAAAUAUGUUACUUUUCUUUGUCCUUGUAGUAUUAAGGCCAAAGCAUUAAAAUCUCGGGAUGGUGUGCUUCUUGGUUUUUGCAGAACCUCUCUGCACCAGGUCACAAACCUAGUUAAAUACCCACACACCUUGGGGCAGCUGAUCACAUAACACACAAGGCUGUGAGAGCAGCAUUCCCCCACCCCCAGCUUCAGAGCUUGGAAGCUGGGGAAUACUUGCAUAUGAGUGAGCCACCCAAGGAGUAGUGGUGCCAGCAGUGCACCCUCAUUAAUAGAACAGCUUGCUCCAUUUUCUUCCAUCCCUCUCCAGCCACCCUUCCCUGAGGAGGUUUCAGACCUGGCUCCUGCUCAGGGGAAGCGGCACCUACUCCCUGCAGCUGCGGUGUGGAGCUCUGGUUCCUAGUGCUCAGAGCUGCUUCCAUUUCUGCUCCGAGUACGGGAAGUAAGCCUGUAGUAUAGUAAGAAAAGACUCAAGUCUGCAUUGGGGUUGGGGGGGAGUUGAUUAGUAGUGCUGCUGAUGUGAUUUUAUUUUCAAAUCUGAAGCCUAUGGAAGAAAUACAAUAUAAUGUGAACUGUUUAAAAAGUCACCCUUUUCUCAAGGGUUUUAAAUAAUUUUACUGAAAAUGUGAUUAUACUGUUGAGUUUCAUUUCCCUUGUUCUAAAAAGUCAGAUGAGAACUAGCAAAAGGAAAAAAAAAAAGUGGAUUGUUUUGUAUUUGGAACCAUCGCCUUUGGAGGUGGGUGGUACCUGCAUCUCCUCACUGGCAGUUGCAGGUCUUGUGUUGCUGUUGGGGGUAUGAUGGUUUUCUCAGCUGUUGUUGGCAUUUCAGGCAAUUACAAUGUGAAUUGACUUUGAUAGAGGCAAACUGCUGUUGUGGUUAGUGACUUUAGCUCAUGGGAGAUGAUUCUUUGGAGCCAGAAAAAAACUAGGCUUAAAUUCUAGCUCCUCCAUUUAUUGGCUUUUUGGCAUUGGACAAGUUGCUUUGACCCCUCCAGCUUCAGUUUCCUCAUCAGCAGAGUGAGAUUUGUUAUAUGGAUUAGAGAUAAUAAUGCAUGCUCCUGGCCCAGUUCCUAUACACAUUCAUAUUGCGAAGUCAUAAAUGGUGGGAUACAGGACAUGUCAGAGUGAAAGUACAGAUCAUUUUGGCUUAUGACAAACUUGAGAGGUCUGGCGCUGUGAUCUGGCAUUCUUUCAUUUGCACAGAUUUGGGAUGGAAAAAGGCAAAUAUUUGACUGAGACCUACCUAAGUCCUAUGGGGCAGGUGCUUAUUGGGAUUCAUAUUUGUUAGUUACUCCAUGGCUGGUUGAACUUAAUAAUAAGACAAAACCUAGCUCCAAAUUCUACAAUGUUCACAGGCUGUGCUUGUUUUAAUCUUAUUCAGAGCUUAUGUGGUGGGAGAAAGGGGUGUUUUAGGACAUUAACGUGUUUCAAUGAGUUCUGUGUCCAGAGUUGAAUCACAUGCAAAGCCUUGUGUAAAUUUUCAUGGUUAAUACAAGCCAUAAAGUUCUUGGUGGAAACAGUGGAGACAUCAGUUGCUUGCUUAUUUUAGUUAAUCUGUUUGUUUAUGUAGCAGUUAUGUUUGAUUUUAAAAUUCUUAUGAACAUUUUUUCUUAUAGAAUUUCUAUUGCUCUUCUGAGAUUUUGAUUAUAGAUUAUUAGGACUAUAGAUUUGAGUGCCUUGUGCAUUUUUGCAUUGGUGGGGAAGGAAAGAAAGGUAAGAUCCUUUUACCUGUGAAGCUUUAUCCACUGUGCUUUGGGCCCACAGAUUGCUUGUGUGGCCUUGUUUUUAGCCAAAAAGGCAGUUCUAUGAAAACAUGUCUUUUCCUUUUUAAAAUAUGGUUUACGACAUUACUUUGAAAAGUAGAUUCAAUUAAGGCCAGGUACAUACAACUUUUAAAAUAGAAUUUCUUUGGUUGCUAUACAUUUAAAUUGUUGUUUUUGCAGGAAAGCCCUGUGACAAGUCUGUGAGCCUAUAUGAGUUACCUAGAGACUUUACAGAUAAGGCGGACACAUUAGAAAUACAUUAGAGUUUACCUCAAGGGAAUGUGCUAAUCCUUAUUUUAUUUUAUUACUGAGCUACCUAGGGGCUUGUCUAUCAGUGGUCUAGUCACUAGUGUUGGAUUGCUGAUAAAGAGGGAUUGGCAAAUAAUAGUCUUUAACUCACUUUAGAUUUUGCAGUACACUUGAAAACUUAAUCUUGGCCACCACAGUGUAUAAUAACUGCACUAGCACCAUGCAAGCCCAGAAUGGCUAAGCAAAAUUCAGGUGAUUGAAUUACAUUAUUUUCCCUUUAAUUAUAACACGUUUUGCUGAGGAAACUUUUUCUUUGGGAGAGCUCUUUUAACUUUUUUUUUCUUUCUUGUUUCAUAAAAGUUAAUGGCCUAGCAGAUGGCUGGUUGCUUUUGUCAGUUUCUUGAUAAACUGAUGAGUGUAGUGAGAAGGUACUGUUGGGAUAGAAGAGAAAUGGAAAAGAAUGAUGGCUCCAUACACUUGUUUCUUGAUCUUUACUGUGCAUAUGGCAUCUGGGAGUCAAACAAAGAUAUACAGCUGGGUGUUGUGGCGUGCACAUGUAAUCCCAGCACUUGGGAGGCUGAGGCAGGAGAACCGUCAUGAGUUUGAGGCCAGACUAGGCCACAUAGUGAUUUCAAGACCAGCCUAAAAUACAUAGUGACACCCUCUUUCAAAAAACAAAACAAAACAACAAAGAUACAAUGUCGGGUGAUAUUUGGUCUUUAAUGCUAGUGAAAAAUAUAAUUUUUAACAUGUAUACUUUUCAACUUUAGAAUUUAGAUUCUUUGGGAUUCAAUGGACUAUAACUUUUUUUUACUUAUGAUAUGUGACCUACAAAAUGGGAAAGCUUAUAGCUAGGCUCUUUUGAAUGUUUUUCACCCUUUUUGAGUGUAUCAUUUUAAUAGCUUUAGUAUCAAUGGCUUUGAACAUUGAAACAUGGUAAACUGGGUUGUUGCUGUUGUUGUUGGAAGGGAGAUUGUAUGUGCUGUCCAUUGGAUAAAUCUGUGUGUGUGGCUCUUACAAUUGACCAGAACAGCAAGGGCAUUUUCCUGUAUUGUACAUUGUUAGAACUGCAGUUUGACCUUAUCUUGUCUGAAAGGUCUUCAUUGUAAAGAGCCCCCUCAUUUUUCUUUUUUUUCCUCCUUCAGUGCUUGGGAUCAAACCCAGGACCUUGUACAUUCUAGGCAAGCAUUCUACAACCCCGGCCCUUCACAAUUCUAUUUGUAGCACUAAAAGUCAUUUAAAUUAAAAUGAACUCAGCAAAAGUAGAGAAACAACUUUAAAGUCUAUCAGUGUAAAAUUAAGUAACUUAGUGUAUGUUUGUACAAUAGAAUAAAUACGACAGAGCUACAAGAUAACGGGAGUUCUCUAUAUUGCUAUGGAAAAAUCUCCAAAUUAGACCAUUUAUUUUAAAAGUAUAGAACAGUGUGCAGAGUAUGACACUAUUUGUAUUAUUGGAAAAUAGAUAUAUUUGACCAUUUUCCUAUACAGUGUACCAUGAAACUGUAAGGUGCUCAUUUGUUUCUUUGAAAAUCUAAUACUGUGGUCUCCCUUGGAAAUUAAAUCAGGAGAAGGGAACCUGGUUGGAGGCACAUGCCUCACUGUGUACUUGUUUGCUUUCUUUCUUUUGGUGUUUGAGACAAGGUCUCUCUAUGUGUUCCAGGCUGGCCUUGAACUUAUUGUGUAGCCCAGGGUGGCCUCGAACUCACAGUGAUCCUUCUGCCUCAGCCUCCUGAGUGCUGGAAUUACAGGUGUGUGGUACCAUGCCCAACAGUAUACUUGUUUUCAAAGUAAAAUUUUUAUCAAAGUACACAUAGAAAAGUAGAAAAAUCAUGGUGUAUGCAUCAGUGAAUUUUUUCCAUGUAAUCAGUUGUGUGAAUUAUCUCAGUACUCAGCACCUAGAAUAAGACAGAUUUUUAAAAAUAAGAACCAAGAUGCAUUAUGUAAAGGUACAAUUCCCAAUGAGAAAGGUAAUUAUGUUGUAUACCUAAAAUGUACCAGUAAAAUAAUUUAACAACAACAACAAAAAAAGACUUUUUUUGAAAUCUCAGUAUAUUACCCAGGCUGGUCUCGAAUUCCUGGGCUCCAUUGAUCUUCCUGCCUCAGCCUCCCCAGUGGCUGGUGCUGUGGGCAUGUUCCACUCUGCCUAGCUGAGAAACAGGAUAUUGAAGUCCCAGAACCUUCGUGUCCUUUUCCAGUUACUGCUGUCCUGAAGGUCUUCACUGUCUUGAGUUCUAUCACCAUAGAGUAGUUCUGCAUUGUUUUUGGAACUUCUCUUGUUUUUUGGUUUUUGUUUGUUUUGUGGUGCUGGGGAUUGAAUCCAGGGCCUCACCUUGUGCUCUGCCACUGAACUACAUCCCCGGCCUCCUGGAACUUCCUGUAAGCAGAAUGCAGUGGGCACUUGUUUGUGUCUGCCUUCAUUAGCUCUGUGCUGUGUUUAGGAGCUGCAUCCACGUUGUUGAGUGUAGUGAUAAUUUGUCUCACAUAUAAACAACCAGUAUUUUUAGUUUGCUGUAAACCUGGUAAAAGUCCAUUGUAUCCUGUGUUAGCAUUUAUCUGUCCACUCUGUCAUUGAUGGAAAUUUGAGUUAUUUCUGUCUUGGGGCUAUGGCAAAUAAUGCUGCUGUGUUCUCUGUAUAUUCUUUUUACACUUACUUUUUUUUUUUUUUUGAUGAAAUGAUCCAAGCAUUUAAUGUGCAAAUUAACUUUCUGCCAAACAGCAAGAUAGGAUGGGCCCAGGAAUUUGCAUACACCAUAAUACAAUGAAGCAACAAUGUUUUCAGAGAAUUACCACACUUGAUAGCCAAAAGGCUGAGAAGGAUCAGAGAAUUACCUUUAGGUAAAGAAACUUAAAUUGUCACACUAAGAGAUAUACUGUAUGUAAACAUACCCAUGGAAAGCCUAAAACUCAAUUUGUGACAAAGGGACCUACAACUGAAACAAAUUUGAGAUAAGCUUUCUGUAAUCUCUACAAAUAAUCUUAGAAGCAGGUAUUUCUGCAUCAGAAUGUUAUGAUUAAAAUAUGCUAUUUAUUAGCAGUGCUUUAGUAAAAUGGUACAAAUUUCUUUGGCAUAUUAGUUUUUUUGGCUGACUUUAUCUUUUUCAAAUUUAGCUAUCUGAUUAUAUUGACUAGAUUUUGAGGUAAAUUCUUUUUUUUAAAAAAAAUUCUUCUUAUUUUUAUUAUUUAUUUACUUAUUUGGUACCGGGGAUUGAAGUCGGAUCCUUCUGCUUGCGCGGCAGGUGGCAGAACCACUGGGCUAAAUCCCCGGCCCUGAGGUAGAUUCUUUUAAACUCUACUUUCUCAUUGCUCUUUGCUAGCUAAUCCAUUUGGAACUUGUGCUUUGUUAUUUUCCCUAGAACUGUCCUCUCUUUCAUAAUCUCUUUGAUUGAUAUUUAAUCGGUACUUUUGCUCGUGUCUGCCGAAAUCACAUGAUCCAGAAUAAGUUUACACUUACAGUUUUGACUGACUGAAUGUAUACUUAUUAAGUCUUUGUUUUUAUUAUUUGGUUUUUUGAGACAGGGUUUCGCUGUGUAAUCCAGGCUGGUCUUGAACUCACUAUGUAGCCCGUCUGGCCUUGGACUCAAGGUGGUCCUCCUGCCUUAGCCUCCCAAGUGCUGGGAUUAUAGGCAUGUGCCACAAUGCCCAGUCUCUUAUUAAAUCUUUAAAUUUAAAAUGUAUCCAUCCUUUAACUGAUCCAUAGGAAAAUUGUAAUGUUUUUUUUUUGGUGGUGUGGUAUUGAGAAUCAAACCCAAGGGUACUCUACCACUGAGCUACAUCCUCAACCCUUUUUAAAUUUUUUUUGAGACAGGGACUUGCAGUUCUCCUAACUUACCCUUCCAAAUAGCUAGUAUUAACAGGAAUGUACACUUCUAAUGUCCUGUUUUAAAUUAAGUAUUGAAAUAUUAUGGUACAAAAUAAUUUCAGACUACUUUUGCAUAUAUUCUAAAUGCCUUAGCCUCAAUAUUGAGAAUUCCCAAGUCAACCUAAGAGCAAACUUAUAUUCUUUUAUCCUUAAAUAAAGAGGGGUUAAUAUAAUGGAAAAUAUCUUUAAAAUAUUACAGCACCUGAGCUGGGUAUGGUGAUGCAUGCCUGUAGUCCCAGCUACUAAGUAGGCUGAGACAAGAGGGUCCCUUGAACCCAAAAGUUUUGAAACUAGCCUGGGUAGCAUAGCAAGACCUCAGCUCAAAAAAACAAAAACAAAACCAAAACCUGAGGGCUGGGGCUUUAGCUCAGUGGUUCCCCCGCCUGCUCUCGCAAGCGCAAGUUCCCAAGUUCGAUCCCUGUACCAAAAAAACCCCCUGAAAAAUGCCUUUUCGCAUUGCUAAAUAUUUCUUUUAUUGUCUCAAUUUAUAAUAUUGAAAUCAUAAUCCUGCAUUGGUAAUUAAAAUAUUUUAUAUAAUUUUUUUAAAUUGCCAUAUAUUCGGCCAGGGAUUUAGCUCAGUGGUGCCGUGCCUGCCUCACAAGCUCAAGGUCCUGAGUUUGAUCCCCAGUACCAGAAAAAACAAAAACGAAACCUGCCAUAUAGUUGAAUAUUUUUGGAACUCCAAGGUUCUAAACAAAUAGCAACAUGAAAAACUUAAAAUAUUGUUAACUUUGAAUAUUUUAGGAUUUAGUAGGGCUGUCAGCCAAAUACAGUGGAAUGUGAUUGUAUGUAGCUGUGUGCUUUAACAACUGCGGAGUCACCCCUGUUCCUAUGGAAAGGUGCAUUGGAAUAAGUGUUUUCUUUCAGGUGCAGCAACACUGCCCCGCCUUGCCCAAAUCUGGACAUAGUAAUUAAAGUGUCUGUCUGAAGCAGAGCUUCCCAGCCACAGGUGCCUUUGCCUUGGGGGACACUGGCCAUGUCUGGAGAGGUCUUUUGGUUGUCAGGCCCAGGGGCAGGAAUGUGCUCUGGCAUCUGACAGCCAAGUGUCCCAGGUCCACAGGGCCCCUGCCUCCCAGGAGUGAUCCCGUCUCUCCAGUCUACGGUGCCCAGGCUGGGAAACCCUGCAGCAGAGCCCCUGGUGACUGAGCCGCUGCUGCCAGCGGGGUGCAUUAGGUGGAGAACAUGCGGUGAGCUUAUCUAGUUUGUGGAAGAAAUAGGUGUGGUGAUUUCUUAAAUAAUAAUAAGAGUUUUAAAUAUGAAACUUUAGAACGUAUGUGUUUUAGUGGACAAAUUAUCCCAAUUUAAAAAUAGCCUAUUUAUACUUUGUGAGUGGGCAAAGCCAAAUUAUCUUGGAGUAGAGCUUUUAUCUAAAAGGUCAUUCAAAAACAGUCUUUUUGUGUAUUACACAGCAAAGGCUUGAUUUUUAGAAAGCACAUAAAUCUUGUGAUCCUAGUGUGGAUCUUGUUUUGUACUAAAAAAAAAAUGGUUUUUGGACAUAAAAUGUAUUUCUUUUAAAAAAUUGUUUUUCUUUUUAAAUUUAAAAAGUCUAAAUCUUAUAUUAUAUAGUAAAUUAAAAAUAUUGCCAAGUGAUAAAAUAUUAAAAUUAAAUGUUAGAAAUGACACGCAUAGCAGACAAGGAAUGAUCUACUCACUUUUCAGUGGUGAAUUCCCUCCCAUCAGGUUGUGGUAAAGAAAAAAGCACAGGGCACCUUUGCCAGCUCAUCAUGUUGCACUAAGCAUCCAGAAGAUGGCUUGUCCUGCCUUCCAGCCUCGCCCUCGGUCCUUUGUCACCUGGCGGGAAGCUAACUUUAAAUUUCCUGCAGGUGACUCUCGUCUCUGCAGCAGGGCACCGAGUUCUGAGAGACAGGUCCAGUGCAGCAGCAUGAAUGGCUGCAGACCAGGACUGCUGUGCAUCGCUUCCAACCAGCGGUGCUUCUCAGGUGUCUGAGCCCUGGUCCCCAGGGAGAAGCAGUGCCCACCACAGGGGCUCGCUGACAUGCACACCCACUCUCACAGCGCUUACCUUACAGUCUGUCAGGUGCUGUUAGUUCUUAGUCAGUUCUGUUUCAUUUAGAAAAAUUGGAUUGGAGCAGGCAAUUCGGUUUUUUGGGUUUUUGUGUUUUUUUUGAGACAGGGUCUCACUGUGUACCCCUAGCUGACCUCAAACUUAGUGUCUAUAUUUGGGAGACAGAUCAUAAAUUGAACCCAUCACAAAGUGAACAUAUCAUAAGUGAAAACUCCAUUUACUACACCUGGCCCCCUGGACAGCACAGGCUGCCAGCAGAGCUGCUCUGUGGAAUGCUGUUUCCUGUGACCACGCCACCCAGAGCAGUGGCUUCAGCUGCUGUUCCCCAGCAUUGGGAUUGCUAGCUGGGGAAGAGGGUCAGACCCCAGGGCCUGUGCAUGCCACGCAAGCACCCUGGCACUGAGCGGUACCAGCAGGGCACAUGUUCCAUUGGUGCUGCUUCCAGGCCAGCAGAAAGUGGAGAAGUCUUCAGUCCGAUGGUCAGAAGCCAGGUGGCGCUGUCAGCAUCUGCCUUCAGCCCUCACCCCAGCCCCAGUCUGGAGAUUCAUUGUCAACCUGUAGCUUGACAGCUCUACCCGAAUGUCUGAGUUGCAAUCACAAAGCAUUGCCUUUAAAGAGUAGAAAAUCUAACUGAAAAUAGGGAAAUGUGUCUCACUGGUAAGAGCAGAGUCAUAGGAGUGGAGUCCUAAUUCUCUGCGUCAUUUUUGAUCACUUUUUCUUUCUUCUCCCUUCGUCUUUUUUUUUCCUUCUCCCUCCUCUUUAAAGAGCACAUUCCGUCGGUCUCCACUUUGUGGCUCUCUCUGCCACUUGCCGUGGUGCCUGCACCCCCAGCCCUACAUCUGUGUCCCUGCUGUCCUCUCAUUCUCAUCACACGCUCACACCCAGGAGUUUUGGGGCAGGUGGCUCUGCCCCGCCCCUUGCGCUCCUGGCCUGUGAUGGCUUUUACUCUCCUCCUCCCCGGCCCCUGCAAGGAUCUCACGUUCUUCACAGCCUUUCACAGGCGUGUCCAGGCCUUCCUUUUCAUGCCCUUUUCAGUCAUUUCAUGCCAUCUUUUCAAAACUCAGCGUUGUUUGAAUUCAGCUCAAUCAUGACUUAUUUUCUGUGUCUGUAGUUUUGCUUGACCAGAUUUUAAGCUUGUGAAGUUAGGGUCAAUAUAAUAAUUAUUUGAAGGGGGCCGAGAGUU
rnacentral:lncRNA from 1 species